CGAACGCUGGCGGCGUGCUUACCACAUGCACGUCGAACGGAAAGGCCCUGCUUUUGUGGGGUGCUCGAGUGGCGAACGGGUGAGUAACACGUGAGUAACCUGCCCUUGACUUUGGGAUAACUUCAGUAAACUGGGGCUAAUACCGGAUAGGAGCUCCUGCUGCAUGGUGGGGGUUGGAAAGUUUCGGCGGUUGGGGAUGGACUCGCGGCUUAUCAGCUUGUUGGUGGGGUAGUGGCUUACCAAGGCUUUGACGGGUAGCCGGCCUGAGAGGGUGACCGGCCACAUUGGGACUGAGAUACGGCCCAGACUCCUACGGGAGGCAGCAGUGGGGAAUAUUGCACAAUGGGCGGAAGCCUGAUGCAGCAACGCCGCGUGCGGGAUGACGGCCUUCGGGUUGUAAACCGCUUUCGCCUGUGACGAAGCGUGAGUGACGGUAAUGGGUAAAGAAGCACCGGCUAACUACGUG
rnacentral:rRNA from 1 species